UACGUAGGGACCGAGCGUUGUCCGGAAUCAUUGGGCGUAAAGAGCGUGUAGGCGGCUUGCUAAGUCUUGCGUGAAAUCUCGGGGCUCAACCCCGAGCGGUCGUGGGAAACUGGCAGGCUAGAGUGCGGGAGAGGAGAAUGGAAUUCCUGGUGUAGCGGUGAAAUGCGCAGAUAUCAGGAAGAACACCCGUGGCGAAGGCGGUUCUCUGGAACGCAACUGACGCUGAGGAGGGAAAGCAUGGGGAGCGAACAGG
rnacentral:rRNA from 1 species